AUUUUCUCCAAGAGCAUAGCUCAUCAAGGGAGAUUAUGUCGGAUUAUUUACAAACUUUAGGUUACUCACAUCAAGACAAAGAGGAUUACAUAGAAAAAAAAGAUUACAUCAAAACAAAUCGAAUAAUCAUAGUGUGGAAGAACUUCUGGUAUUCAUUCUCAAGCUUUCCAUGAAACAUAUUAUUAUAAGAAAUUUAUAUGGAAGAAUUUACCACACCAAUAUCUUACAGACCAAUGUUUUACAAAACAAGUUCCAAUAAAAAAAAAAAAAAAGAAAAAAAGUUACUCCGCCCGAAACCGUUUUGUAUUUAAGAUAAAUAAUUGGACAUUUUGCAUUAAUUUUACAUUAUCUUCAUGUCCAAGAUUUUCCGAACCAUGCAAAAGUAUUUCAAUUUUCCGAUUCUCUGAUAAAUUCAUCCACAUAGGAUGGAGCAGCCGCGCAGGAAGUGAGAGCAAUUGUUCACGUUGGGCAGCAAAUCGAGAACAAUAUAAAAAGUAAUGUUUGACAGUUUCCAUUUCACCCCAUCGACAUACACAAAAGGGGGAAUUUGCACAAUUAAUUCUAUAUAGGUGAAAAUUAAGCGCACAGUGACCAAGCCUGAGCCUGGUAUGGAGUAUUGAGCUAUAUCUACUUAGUGAUGCAUUGUAUUUUACGUUAUAUUUUUGUCCACAAUACAUAUUACAUAAGGUAACUUUAAAGGAAGAAAGCGUCUCUAUAUUUCGUAAAUCUGAAUCAAGAUCAUUCCAGGCAGUUAUUGCCGAUGGAAAGAAAGAUUUUUUAAAUCGUUCAGUUCUCACAGGUAUAUUAGUUA